rnacentral:lncRNA from 10 species
GCAGAUGGAAAAAUUGAGCUUCAGGGAAGCACACAUCUAAAAAAGGAGCAGAGCAUGUAGUUGAACCAGGUAUCUUGACAUCCAACUCUGGCCACUUCCAGGCCACCCCAGUAUGCCAUCUCCCAGGUUUUUGAGAAACAGGUGGACACUGCUGGUCGGAAUAUAAACUAGUACAACCACUAUGGAAAACAGUGUGGAGAUUCACAAUUUGUAAUUGCAAAAAUGUGGAACCAGCCCAAAUCCCCAUCAAUCAACGAGUGGA